rnacentral:lncRNA from 1 species
CUUGGGUUGCCCUUUGCAGCAGGGACGAGAGGCGCGCAAAGCGCUGCAACCGCCUUUGCCUCGCCUUCUCCUCCCGAGAGCGCCUGGCUUCAUCGGGAGGAGGAGGAGCCCGGGCUUGUGACGCAGCAACGAGGCUUCGCAGUCGUAGCAAAGGGGACAGGGCGGCCUAGGGCAGCCUAAGCGCCGUCCGCAUGGAUCAGGGCCCGGCGCCGUAUUGCUUGCGCCGAAGGAAGUCUCCGCGACGCGCGCAGCCCGGCGGGUUUUGAAUGAGCCGAGGGUUUACGAAGAUGCUGAGCAGGAACCAAAAACAAUUCUACAUAUUGGAGAUGGGCUUCACUAUAUUGAAGUGAUGGUUGCAGGC